GCAACGUCAAGGUUAAUCCUUACGUUUUUUAUAUAACGAGGAACAGUCAUGGCCCGUAUCGCAGGCAUUAACAUUCCGCCG
rfam:Pelistega indica strain HM-7 Contig106, whole genome shotgun sequence.